rnacentral:lncRNA from 1 species
CAGCAGCAGCGACAACAACAGCAGCAGCAGCAGUCACAACCGCCGCCUGCAGCUAGGCAUCGGGUUCCUGUAACGGUGAGUAGAGGAAUCAGAGGCCUCCAAAGCAUGGGCUUACAAUUGUUGACUAUGUGCCAAACGCAUGAAUUCGAGCUCCGACAAAAGGAACUUGAAGUCGAAACCAGAAAAGUGGACAUUGAAGAGAGACGACUAGCUCUGGAGGAGCGCAAGCUGGCGCUUG